rnacentral:snoRNA from 1 species
UGAUGAUGGUGAGGGAAAUUUUUGAGCAUACCCUUAAAUCUCUUCAAUUCUUGGUAGAGUUUCUCUCUAUCUUUCUAUCUAAAACUCAAGAUCUCACUCCUAAAGCA